GACCUGAUGGCUUAGUGGUUAGAGUGUCUGAUUUGGAUACAGGAGGUCAUGGGUUCGAACCCUGGCCGAGUCA